UACAGAGGUCUCAAGCGUUGUUCGGAUUCAUUGGGCGUAAAGGGCGCGUAGGCGGCCUGCUAAGUCGAACGUGAAAUCCCCGGGCUCAACCCGGGAACUGCGUCCGAUACUGGUUGGCUUGAAUCCGGGAGAGGGAUGCGGAAUUCCAGGUGUAGCGGUGAAAUGCGUAGAUAUCUGGAGGAACACCGGUGGCGAAGGCGGCAUCCUGGACCGGCAUUGACGCUGAGGCGCGAAAGCCAGGGGAGCAAACGGG
rnacentral:rRNA from 1 species